GGGGAAACUCGAGCUAAUACCGCAUAUUUCCUACGGGAGAAAGACUUCGGUCGCUAUUGGAUGAGCCUAUGUCAGAUUAGCUUGUUGGUAGGGUAAUGGCCUACCAAGGCUACGAUCUGUAGCUGGUCUGAGAGGAUGAUCAGCCACACUGGGACUGAGACACGGCCCAGACUCCUACGGGAGGCAGCAGUGGGGAAUAUUGGACAAUGGGCGAAAGCCUGAUCCAGCAAUGCAGCGUGUGUGAAGAAGGCCUGAGGGUUGUAAAGCACUUUCAGUA
rnacentral:rRNA from 1 species